GCAAAGUGGGGCAAACAAGAGAGGACCAGUGGCCACAGAAGGGCUGGUCUUUGUCCAGAAACCAAGCAGUGCCCUCCCUACAAGUCCAGGUCCCCAUUGGGAGUUGGGAAAAUAACGUUCAUCUUGGCCAACAACUGCAUUCAAUAGCUCUCUGCUAUGGCCUGGGAAAGCAGAAGAAGAUGGCCUAAGUCCUUGGGUGCCUGCACCCACGUGGGAGACCCAGAAGAGGCUCCUGGCUCCUGGCUUCAGAUCGACGCAGCUCCGGCCAUUGAGAACAUCUGGGGAGCGAACCAGUGGAUGGAAGACCUCUCUCUCUGUCUCUCCUUUUCCCUCUGUGUAAC